UACGUAGGGUGCGAGCGUUAAUCGGAAUUACUGGGCGUAAAGCGUGCGCAGGCGGUUUUUUAAGACAGGCGUGAAAUCCCCGGGCUUAACCUGGGAACUGCGCUUGUGACUGGAAGGCUAGAGUACGGCAGAGGGGGGUGGAAUUCCACGUGUAGCAGUGAAAUGCGUAGAGAUGUGGAGGAACACCGAUGGCGAAGGCAGCCCCCUGGGCCGAUACUGACGCUCAUGCACGAAAGCGUGGGGAGCAAACAGGAUUAGAUACCCUGGUAGUCCACGCCCUAAACGAUGUCAACUAGUUGUUGGGUGGGUAAAACCAUUUAGUAACGUAGCUAACGCGAGAAGUUGACCGCCUGGGGAGUACGGCCGCAAGGUUAAA
rnacentral:rRNA from 1 species